UAGUCCACGCCGUAAACUAUGGUCACUCGCUGCAGGCGAUACACGGUCUGUGGCUGAGCGAAAGCAUUAAGUGACCCACCUGGGGAGUACGUUCGCAAGAAUGAAACUCAAAGGAAUUGACGGGGGCCCGCACAAGCGGUGGAGCAUGUGGUUUAAUUCGAUGAUACGCGAGGAACCUUACCAAGGCUUAAAUGUAGAGUGACCGGUCUGGAAACAGACCUUUCUUCGGACAGUCUACAAGGUGCUGCAUGGUUGUCGUCAGCUCGUGCUGUGAAGUGUCGGGUUAAGUCCGAUAACGAGCGCAACCCACGUCGUCAGUUACAAGUGUCUGGCGAGACUGCCGGUGAUAAGCCGGAGGAAGGUGUGGAUGACGUCAAGUCAGCAUGGCCUUUAUGGUCCGGGCUACACACACGCUACAAUGGUCGAUACAAUGGGUAGCGAAGCCGCGAGGUGAAGCCAAUCUCUCAAAGUCGAUCUCAGUUCGGA
rnacentral:rRNA from 1 species